rnacentral:rRNA from 1 species
UACGGAGGGGGCUAGCGUUGUUCGGAAUUACUGGGCGUAAAGCGCACGUAGGCGGCUGUUCAAGUCAGAGGUGAAAGCCUGGAGCUCAACUCCAGAACUGCCUUUGAAACUAGACAGCUAGAAUCAUGGAGAGGUGAGUGGAAUUCCGAGUGUAGAGGUGAAAUUCGUAGAUAUUCGGAAAGAACACCAGUGGCGAAGGCGGACUCACUGGACAUGUAUUGACGCUGAGGUGCGAAAGCGUGGGGAGCAAACAGG